CGGUAUGCGCAUGCGUGUUAACAGUCGUAGAAGGUGUCGUCGAUGUCGUUUUGUGAGUUGUCGUCUACUUUUUUGAGAAAAAAAGCCUGAAUAUCGUCAGUUCCCGUACCCUAUAACAGCAUUGCUUAGCCUAACAGCGUGUAGAGUAGCUCAGGAAUAUUUAGAUCCACCUGUUAGCUAAACCCUAAGCAAACAUUUUGCCCUUUGACUCUACCCGGCCACCCUCUGGUCCACUUGGGCGUGGAAGACCUGGCCCGAUCAGAGGGAAAAAGGCCAAAAAAUGCCGGCCAUCUGAGACCGGAGAAGCUCGGCUCUCCGAGGCCAAAGAAGCUCGGCCGUCCGAGGUUGUGAAGAACGGGCCAAUUGAGGCCACUAGGGCUAGUCAGCCAGUAAAGGAAGGAUCCAGAAAUACCUUUUUCCGAAAGGUGAAGAAGGCAGUGUGUCUUUGUGAGCCAGAAGUCAUCGAGUCCGAGACUGGCCUGAACAACAAGGUCAAGGGUCAUGCCACCAACCCCAAGUCCAAGAACACCAAGCCUGAUGACAAGUCCAAGCCACCUGUCAAGGGUCCUUCAUCGCUCCGCGUUGAGGAAGCAGAGAUCACCCAGAUGUUCAGCCCAUCCCUUGCCAAGAAGUUCAAGGAGGUUGAUAAGAAGUUGGCAAAAAGAGCAGCCAAAAAAGCCGCCCGAGCUGAAGCCGAGCGGAAGAAGAAGGAGAAACAGGAGCAGAUCCGUCGCGAAAAGGAACGGAAGGAGGCACUGAAGGAAGCGAGGAGGCAGAAGAAGGAAGCAGCCAAGCAAGAGAAGGUGGAGCAGAAAGAGCAACGGAUUGCCAAGAAGUUGGCCAAGAAAGGACAGCAGAAGGCCAUGAGUGGCAAGGGUGAUUCUAAGAGUGACAGAAACGCGACUUAUGGUUAUAGGAAGCCCAUAGACACCUCCCCCGUGUCUACAUCAUCAGCUUCCGUCCCCCAUUUCCAUCAAUCGCCACCCUGUGUAUCCCCCAAGGUACCCCCUGGAAGCCCCCACUUCCAGCACGUCAAAUCCCUCUUAGUCCACAUCUCCCCCGAUGACGGACUACCAGUGAUCAGUGAUGGUUUCCCCUGCGUGGAAGUACCCCUGAGUACCGCGGAUGAUGUAGUCGGAAUGUCGUAUCGGUCGCCAUCUCAGCGCCAAUCCCCCGUCACGGUGCAGCGACGUUCUUCACGAUCUCCUUCCCCGGCCCGACUGGUUAGUCCACCCAGCUCCCUGUCUAGAGUUUCGCCACCGGGUUCACGUACCCCUCAUCCACCGAGUGGUUUCUCUCGCACGGAGUAUAUUCCAUCUAUCGGUCGUCCUACAUCUCGGCGUUCCAGCAAGACUGGAGCCUUAGACAGUAGCUCAGCUGAGAAAUCUCGUUUCUCUCGCUAUGGAGGCACUGAUAUCAACGCCAAUUCCCGCAUCGAUCCACUGUCCAAGCUGUAUGGCAAGCAGUCGUCACCAGCAAAGAUACCACAGCAGACUCGCCAACAGCCAGUGCGUGCUAUCCAUCCGACUACGGAGACGGGUAGUAAGACCUAUCGCUAUAGCAACAGCCGUAACCAUAGCAUUGAGGAUGACCUCAUCGAUGAAGUCAUCAAUCUUCAGAUUGAUGACACACCUGGUUCAUUGUCACCUGCAUCUACUGCAUCUAGCAGCAGACGUUCCAGUUACACCAUGGGACAACGAUCAAAGGGCAGUUCAUCUGACCUCAGAUGCCCUCCAAUUGCAGGUGCCUCACCACAAGAGGGCGCUAGCACCGCUAAGGUGACACGACGCUUGUCUGGCAACAUGAACACUGAUUACAAGCCCACCUUUGCCAGUCACAAUCGCAAGCCCUCAACCACCACCAACGGUCCUAAGGUACCCGCCAUCUCACGUACCAAGGCUGCAUCCAUCCUGGAUGAAUCUAACAGUGACAAGACGAAGGAGGAGAAAGAAGCACCUCAACCAGCUUUCAGCUCUGCCCAACAUUCUGUUCUUGGCACCGGAAGAACAGGGAAUGUGUUGGAGGGGAAACCUAGACCAGGAGGAAUGAUAGGCAUGUCCAACCUGGGAAACACUUGUUACAUGAAUUCCAUCUUGCAGUGUUUGGCUCAGAACAAGGAUUUGCGAGAGUAUUUCUUGGAAGGUUUGCAUCUUAAAGACAUCAACAAACGAUCACCUCGGCAGGGUUCACUCGUCAAAAGUUUUGCCGAAGUCGUGAAAGAAAUAUGGUUUCCCAAGAAGAAGAACGUAGUCGCACCGACUCAUCUGCAGAAUGUCUUCCAGAAGGUCGCUAGACACUUUGGUCCUGGGAAGCAGCAAGAUGCUCAGGAGUUUCUAUGCUAUCUCUUGGGUGAACUCCAUGAGGAGAUUAACAUCGCUGCCAAGCACAGAGGCAAAGAUCCAGAAAUCCCUGAUGACAUCUCUGAGGAAGCUAAAGCCAAGCUAGCCUGGGAUCGCUACUGCGCUCGCAACAACUCCAUCUUCUCUCGUCUCUUUGUUGGACAACUCAAGAGCACCUUGGAAUGCCAGACUUGUAAGAACCGCUCCGUCACGUUUGACAUCUUUUGGGACAUCUCUGUUCCAGUGCCUGAGCGAGUGAAAUUCCAACGCCGUAACAGCUGGCAGCGUGAAGAUCAGCCAACCAAGCACACAUUUGACAUCAAGGAUUGCCUGAAUAAGUUCACAGAAGCCGAGGUACUAGACGGGGACAACAUGGUGACCUGCGAGAAAUGCAAGAAGAAGCGAGUGUUCACCAAGAGGUUUUCUAUCCAGCGCUUCCCGAAACAUCUUGUGCUUCACCUUAAGCGUUUCAGCUGUCUUCGUGCUAAGCUCACAACUUUCGUUGACUUUCCGUUGGAGGGCUUGGAUAUGUCCCAAUAUCUGGCCGAUAAUGCAGCACCCAUUGGUGAUUUCGAUCUGACCACAUCCAUCAACCAUAUUGGAAAUCCAAAUUACGAACUGUUCUAUGCGAUCUGGGAGCAAUGCCAUGCACCGCCUGUGAUGGACGUGGCCUACAUGCUGUCGCUUGAGGACAGUGCUUCCGACGACGACGAACAACAAGGAGGGCGCUAUAACCUGAACGGAGUCUCUCAACAUUCUGGGUCCAUGAUCGGUGGUCAUUACGUGGCUUACGCCAAGCAUACACUGACUAACAAGUGGAAUUGCUAUGAUGAUGCAAGAGUUGAACCUAUCACAGAGGCCUCGGUGCCGAGCUCCUUUGCAUACGUUCUGUUCUACGAGCAGACAGAACAACUGUAAGCCAACAAUCAUCAAGCUAGUCUUGCCAUUCCGGAGGGAGGGGUUAAGAGAUAACAACAUUUGAAUAGUCUUCCUGGUUUGAUACUCAGUUUGAUGAUAGCUAUUGAAAGAAAAAGAUUCAAAGUUCAUAGUUAGUCACAUGCCAACACGAACUCAGACUGAGUUUGAACAAUCUUUUGGUUCCAUCUGAAACAGGUCAAGACUCAAUUUUGCCAUCAGCCACAGAUCUCUCUUUGCCCCUCCCUCCAAUUGUACCUCCCCCUCCUCCGAGUGGAACAAGCCAAAACAAUCAACUUGGGUGAGCCAACUGAUCUGAGGGGGAGGUGCACACUUUUUUUAUCGAUGUAAAAUACUUUUAUACAAAGAUAUUUAUUGCUUUAGGUACAAGUGUGCUUCGGUACUUUGGGGGAGGUACCAGUGCAUUAAUGGGGGGGGGAUACUUGAAGAGGUAUAGUUGUAAUAUUUUGUAUCAAAGUAUUUUAUAUUUCAAGGUAUUCAAUUGCAUCAUGUGACCCAUAACCAGAUAUCAUAUGUGUGUAACCAAUCAAAACUAAAAUUGAAAAAUAAAAAUAUUCCUGACGUUGUUUUGGUGUUGGAUAAGAACUUGGAAGGUUUUCCGGCACAAGGUUUUUCUUGAAUCCCAACCAAUCUAUUACAGUAAGCCGUAUGGCUUCUGUCUAACUUGGAUCUUGUUGCGAUUUAGUAAAACUUGAUCUCACAAAAUCUUGUGUUGGAACUUUGCUAGCGACGUUCCAUCUUGGUAAGUUGAAAGUUCAGAGGUCUGAUAGUUUUAAGUUGUUUUUUUAUUCACCCUAUUUUGAUAUACUUUAAAGGUUUUCUUUUUAUAUUUAAUUCCUGACAUAUUUGAAUGUCAGGAUUUUUUUGUAUUCAUUACUGGCUUUCUUUUAUCUUGAGGACAUCCAUAUAUUGAAUGCGUGGAAUGAAGAUAGGUAGAGUUUGUCGAGGGUUGAGUUCGGAAAGGAUGAGUUUGUGGGGAUGAGGAUGAACAAUUGCUUUCACACUAGUAGAAUUCCAUUUUAGGUUUGGUUUAUCAAACCAAGUACUAGUAAGAGUAAGUAGGAGCUUGAUGAGGGGAGGAUAAGAUCGAAGAUGGAGUACAGAGAGGGAUGUAGAAGACUUGCUUUACACUAGUAAGAUCAUAAAACAAGGUUUGAUAAACCAAACCAAUGACUAGUUAGAGCAAGUAAGAGUUUGAUAUGGACAGGAUAAGAUCUAAGAUAGAGUUCAGAGAAUGAAGCAGAAGCCUUGCUCUUACACUAGUUCGAUCAGGAAACAAGGUUUGAUAAACCAAACCAAGUACUAGUAAAUGUAAGUAGGAGCUUGAUGUGGGGAGGAUAAGACCUAAGAUGGAGUUCAGAGAGCGAAGAAGAAGCCUUGCUCUUACAUUAGUUGGAUCAUGAAACAAGGUUUGAUAAACCAAACCAAGUACUAGUAAGAGUAAGUAGGAGCUUGAUAUGGGGAGGAUAAGAUCUAAGAUGGAGUUCAGAGAGUGAAGGAGAAGCCUUGGUCUUACACAAGUUAGAUCAUAAAACAAUGUUUGAUAAACCAAACCAAGUACUUUAAGAGCAAGUAAGAGUUCGAUAUGGGGAGGAUAAGAUCUAAGAUGGAGUUCAGAGAGUGAAGGAGAAGCCUUGGUCUUACACAAGUUAGAUCAUAAAACAAUGUUUGAUAAACCAAACCAAGUACUUGUAAGAGUCAGUAGGAGCUUGAUAUGGCGAGGAUAAGACCUAAGAUGGAGUUCAGAGAGCGUAGUAGAAGCCUUGCUCUUAUACAACUUAGAUCAUAAAA